rnacentral:rRNA from 1 species
CUACGGGGGGCUCCAGUGGGGAAUAUUGCACAAUGGAGGAAACUCUGAUGCAGCAACGCCGCGUGGAGGAUGACACUUUUCGGAGCGUAAACUCCUUUUAUAUGUCAAGAAAAUGACGGUAGCAUAUGAAUAAGCGCCGGCUAACUCCGUGCCAGCAGCCGCGGUAAUACGGAGGGCGCAAGCGUUACUCGGAAUCACUGGGCGUAAAGAGCGUGUAGGCGGAUUAAAAAGUCAGAAGUGAAAUCCUAUAGCUUAACUAUAGAACUGCUUCUGAAACUCUUAAUCUAGAAUAUGGGAGAGGUAGAUGGGACUUCUGGUGUAGGGGUAAAAUCCGUAGAGAUCAGAAGGAAUACCGAUUGCGAAGGCGAUCUCCUGGAACAUUACUGACGCUAAGGCGUGAAAGCGUGGGGAGCAAACAGGAUUAGAUACCCCCGUAGUC